AACGCACAUUGCGCCCGCCAGUAUUCUGGCGGGCAUGCCUGUCCGAGCGUCAUUUCAACCAUCAAGCCCCGGGCUUGUGUUGGGGACCUGCGUCCGACGCAGGCCCUGAAAACCAGUGGCGGGCUCGCUGUCCACACCGAGCGUAGUAACUAACCUCGCUAUGGAGUGGCGCGGGCGCCUGCCGUAAAACCCCCAAUUUUUACAAGGUUGACCUCGGAUCAGGUAGGAAUACCCGCUGAACUUAA
rnacentral:misc_RNA from 1 species